GACGAACGCUGGCGGCGUGCCUAAUACAUGCAAGUUGAGCGCUGAAGGUUGGUACUUGUACCAACUGGAUGAGCAGCGAACGGGUGAGUAACGCGUGGGGAAUCUGCCUUUGAGCGGGGGACAACAUUUGGAAACGAAUGCUAAUACCGCAUAAAAACUUUAAACACAAGUUUUAAGUUUGAAAGAUGCAAUUGCAUCACUCAAAGAUGAUCCCGCGUUGUAUUAGCUAGUUGGUGAGGUAAAGGCUCACCAAGGCGAAGAUACAUAGCCGACCUGGGAGGGUGAUCGGCCAAAUUGGGACUGAGACACGGCCCAAACUCCUACGGGAGGCAGCAGUAGGGAAUCUUCGGAAAUGGACGAAAGUCUGACCGAGAAACGCCGCGUGAGUGAAGAAGGUUUUCGGAUCGUAAAACUCUGUUGGUAGAGAAGAACGUUGGUGAGAGUGGAAAGCUCAUCAAGUGACGGUAACUACCCAGAAAGGGACGGCUAACUACGUG
rnacentral:rRNA from 1 species